rnacentral:lncRNA from 13 species
AUGCCGCAGUUCCGUGCAGUCAGAAGAUGGCUCCAGCGCGUUAAUUUUGCUCCUGUUUCUAGCACGAGAUUUAAGGAGCAAGAUGCACUUCAGUGCUAUUUUUCCUUUCCGAUUUUGCCGUCGUCUCACUUGGUUCAAAACAUCAAACUGAAGCAUAUAUGGAGUUGUAAAGGGUCCGUUAAUAUAGAUGAUAAUCCAAACAACGACUUUGUAACGACCUCAGGAAACGGUGGAGCCAACAGGGUAGAAGGAGCUUGGGCGAGGCAACCAAGUCACGGCUGGGAAGACAGCUCUUUAGGAAAGCCACUCAGCCCAGAUGAGAUCAUGAGUUCAAGCAGGAAGAUCUACUCGGAGCCUACUGCAAUUAUCCAGGCAAAAGGAAGUGCUGGGCCUGCCACGGGAGAAAAGGGACCAUAUGCCACAAGAUAGCAUGUACAAGAAGGAGCCAAGAAACAUGGGAAUGGACCAUGAGGAUAAUUAAUCGUGAAGGGUGGAAUGUAAAGUUAGAUAAGGAAAAGUUUAAUAAAAUGAGAGCACUUAUUUGUGAUACA